rnacentral:rRNA from 1 species
GAGAGUUAAACAGUACGUGAAAUUGUUGAAAUGGAAACGAUUGAAGUCAGUCAUACCAACGGGAAAUCAACCUCUUGAGUUUGGUCUCGUGGGUUUCGAAGAGUUUAAAAGCCUUCGGAUUUUCGAGAUUGGGCUCUUCUGGUGUACUUUCUCGUACGGUUAGUCAACAUCGGUUUUGAAUGUCAUAAAAUGACUGGAGGAAUGUGGCUUCGAUCUCGUAUUGAAGUGUUAUAGCCUUUGGUAGAUGUGAUGUUCGAGACCGAGGAUUGCAACGGAUACCCUUCUGGGCUAUUCGUCUGAUCUCUGAAACGUUGCCUUGAUGUCGAAAGCUUGCUUAUGAUGUUAGGGUAUUACGGUCAAAAGGUUAGAACGGAUUAAAUUCGUUAAGGAUGUUGACGUAAUGACUUUAAACGA